rnacentral:RNase_P_RNA from 2 species
AAAGUUUGUCAGACAAUCGCUGGUGAGGUAGCUCACGAGAGGAAAGUCCGGGCUCCAUAGGGCAGGAUGCUGGAUAACGUCCAGUCAACGCAAGUUGAAGGAUAGUGCCACAGAAAUGGACCGCCGAUGGCCGCUUGCGGCACAGGCAAGGGUGGAACCGUGGUGUAAGAGACCACGAGGAACGCUGGUGACUUCGUUCCUGGUAAACCCCAUCUGGAGCAAGACCUAAUGAGACACAUGCCCUGCGAAGGGCAGCCUUAGCCCGAGGUGUGUCUGGGUUGGUCGCUUGAGCGGCUUAGCAAUAUGCCGCCUAGAUAGAUGAUUGUCUCCUAGUAGUGGAAGGGUUGUUCCCGCAACACCACGAACGGUACAGAACCCGGCUUAUGCCAAGCUUUCCAU